rnacentral:lncRNA from 1 species
UAAAAUUGGUAUCCUCAAAACACGCUUUUAAGUGUUUCUCUCUGCCACCACCGUCUUCUUCAUCAUCUUCCCCUCUUUCUUUCUUUCUUUUUUUUUUUAAUUUCAACACCUAACAUACAUGUUUCAUUUCGCAAAAGCCAUCUUUAUCUGUUUCUAAUGUGACUCUGAAGCCUCCUUCUUUCCUUCAACGUACCCAAUGUAAAGUUUUCUCAACUUCUUCUCAAUCAUUUAUUUCCAUCUACUUGCCUUUCUAUUUUAAUCCUUCACGACUCUGGAUUUUCUUGAAUAAAUUACUAUGAAGACAAUAAUGUUGAUGUUUUGGAAUUUAAGCUGAAGGAGCUCUCAGCCGUCCGUUCGAAAUCCCCUUCCGUUCAUCAAUUCUCUGUCGCCUUCACCAAGACACUGACCCCUCUCUUUCAAAUUCUAAAGC